GCUGGGCCUCCCCUGGCCCGCCUCCCUUCACCGGCGCCGAUCUCCGAGACCCCGGUCCCUGGGCCAUCCACCGUCCCGCAGGUGUGCAGCCGCAGGCUUGGGGGAUCUGAAUGCUAGGGCUGGGACAGGAGUAUCCUCUUACCCUAGACCCUCAUGUUGCAUCAGAAAGUUAAGAGGGUGGGUAGGUACACCCCGACUCUGGCAUUCCGCUCCCCAAAACCCGUCGCUGACUAAUCUGAUAUGACAAAAGCCCCGUGAUGGAUUUGGUAUAUGUUAAUUCACAAUGCCCUUUCCUCCAGAAUUUAACUAUAAGUUAAUACACACCGGAAACCACGAGCAAACACGCUCGUUAAUGGGCUUAGGUAUUAGCGAGUCCUAACGAUGCAUACAAAUGUGCUCUGCCUCUGUAGGCCCCUCAAGAUUUAUGGGCCUUGAGCUCUCUGAAGCUGUAAACAAGGAGGAAAAAAAGAGAAAGAGAGAGAGACUGGGGGUGAAGAGACAGAGGCCUGACUCACCCCUCCAGAUUCUGGGAGAGAAGUGAUCUCUGCAAGUGGAUUCUUACCUAUUUUCCUUUCCUUGCAAGCUUGCUGUGUGGGUUUUGAAACUGGUCUAGGGGUGGUGUUUGCGACUGAAUGCUGGUGUGCAUGGGCAAUGUUUUGUUUGUGCGCUAGGGUAAGAGCAUGCCAGCCUACUGUGAAUUGCUGUUCCAGGGCCUGACUAUAACAGGCAUUUGUGGAUAUAUACCUGUGUGUGCACCACGCUAGGGGUGUGUGUGUGUGUGUGUGUGUGUGUGUACAUGUGCACGUGUGACAAGCAGGCCUCCCUCUGGGCCAGGCUGCUGCUCCCCCCACCCCCAAACCCGGUGAACAAAUCUCUAACAACAAUCAUAAUAACAAUAAAUAAUAACAAUAAAACAGUAGUUAACAGUCCCUCCCUAGCAGGAUAACAAUAAAAUGCAAGAGGAGAUAUUUUGAGGAGGGGACAGGAGGAGUCAUGAUCACAGCAACCCAGGGAGAAAGGAAGGAAGGAAGUGAGCUUCUUUCUAUGCCCUUGUGGGGCUGGGUUUGGGAACCCCCUCCCCAGAUAAGGUUCUCCUCCAGAGGAGGAGAAGGCGAGCCUGCAGGCCGCUCUCUCUUGUUUCUCUUUCUCGGCUUUUGCUUUGUCUGAUCGGGGAGGAACCCCACGUAAGAGGAGGGUUAGUAGCUCUGGGGAUUCUUUGGAAACCCUGUUUUAAAGAGGAAUUAAAGCAUAUAGGGUCAGGGCCUACAGGAGCAGAAAGGGAAGAGGGGAUGAUCACAGCCAGGGUCCAGGCCCAGCGAGUGAGCUGCCGAGGUGCCCGAGUUGGAGUUGUCCGGGAGGACCAGCCGCGGGCAGAGAUCGACGCUGAAAAACAUUUAUGGCCUUGUCGGAGAGAAGGGAGAGCUCGAGGCAAGACCAGGGAAGUUGCCUUCCUGGGGUCUUAAAAAAAGAGAGUGAGAGAGGGGGGACAGUGAGAGAGAAAGAAAGGAGGGUUUGAGGCACGCAGAAUUUUCCUUCGCGGGCUUGGAGCGGAGAGGAUUUCCAUAAAGGAAGAGAAGCGCAGGGUCCCGGAUACGUCCACGACCGCCUCAUUCUAUGCAGCCGGUGACCCAUCUGGUCGGAAAAGAGACGGAGAAACACUUUUCACUGAGUCACUUCUUUAAAACCAGUGUAGACAUACAAAGAUCCGAAAGAGACCCUUGGGCGUCCUAGUAUUUGAGAACCAUGCGGAGUGGAGGACACUGCCAUAACCAACCCGGCAAAAUAACAGCCUCUCCACUUGCCCGAGCUCUCAGCCACCGGUCGGCUGACUUAGAAGGGGCUUCUGGGCUGCUCCCACCAACUCCUGCCUGAUUUCCCAAAGUCCAGCGAUCUCCAGUCCUCUUUAGGGGGGAAAUAGCACCACCCAGACACCUCUGCACUGUAUUCUCAGCAGGAAACUUACGAAGAAGAAGAAAGGCGGCUUAGAGUCCUGUUUACAUCUCGGUCUACACAUCCCUUGGCGGCUGGAGAGUUUAUUUAUACCUCCCACUAUAACUCUCUCUGUUUGGAGGCAUGGUGGCUCUAUUGACAGACUGAUGUCUAGAAAAUAUUGCUCUAUCUCGAACCAUACCUAAAUGUGCUGUGGUUGUGUUUACAGAUUUAUGCUUGAGGAAAAUAUAAUUAUUUCCAUUGUAUUUGUGCAUAUACAGGAGUUGUAAGAGCAGAUUUAUAUAUAGGAAAAUAUACGACUCUCUUCUAGCCAUCCAGCUUUAUGGACAUUUGAUAUCCUGACAGAUUUACAGCUCUGAGCAGCUAUAUAGAUAAAUGUAUAUCGUUGGAAUUAUGUAUCAGGAGAUAUAUACUUAUUGAUUGUGAUAUAGAGUAGUUAGAGCACUCACUUAGAGCCAUAUAUGGCUCUGGAGAUAUUUCUAUAUUAUUAUCACUAUAUAUAGGCAUAUCUAUUUAUAACUACAUAGUUAUAAAAAUAGACAUAAGUAAUUAUAGUCCUAUAUGUACAUGCUGCUAUCUCGCAAGAGUUAUAGACACUUGCGAAUAUAACUCUAUAGAGAUAUCUGUAUGUAUAUAAGGGUGUAAUUAUCUCAUGAUGUGUGUGUAUUUGGGCUUAGGUCAGUCUAUCUCUGUUCAGGCAUAUUUAUACGCAGGGGCUGGGAGAGACUUGUUCAGGAAAUGUUUUCAGAGGGCCAACAGAGCAGCUGUAUCUGGCCAACUAGGAAACCAGCUAGCGGAGUUCUUUACUUAUGGAGGGAUGGAGUUACAGGAGGGUAAACAGAGCAGGGGAAGUCUCCGGGAAGGGAGGCAAAAGGAGGGACAUUGGGGCUCAGCACGGAUAGUCAGGGAGGAAAGAGGUAAACAGCGGGCACCCACUGAAAGUGGAACCAGUUUUGUGACGGGCUGGCAUAGGUGGCACAGAAGGGGAGGCAGUGAACUGUCCUACCACCCAGAUGGAGGUAGGAUAUCCUACCAUCACCACUAAUGGAGGCAGGGAACAGAUCUUGAAGGGCCUUAGGUUUGGCUUUUGAUGAACCAAAGAUUGGCUACCAUUCAGCCCCUCUCAUAUGCCUGGUGCCUUUCUCUUGAACCCUAAUUUUGGGGUCUCUAAGGAGUAGGCUUUAGAGAUGAAGACAUUUAGGAGGGAUGGAGCAGGAAGUGGGGUACACUUUUGUCCCUGCUGCUCUCCGGUAAUACAGCCAGGAAACCAAGGUAAUGUGACCCCAUAAAGCUUGUUUUAGCCUGGGCCUCCUGUGCUCCUGAGGAGUCUGGUGGAUGGAGGGGUGAAUUUUUCAGUAUUGGGCCUAUUCUGAUAGGAGUUUGGGGAGGUCCUCCCCACCCUCCUUCUCUGAGGCCUGGGCUUUUGGGCCAAAUUCUCCUCCUUUGGGCCACUUCUGAUCUGUUGGUCCCCAAAUUGGGAUUCUUAGAGGCCUCUUUAGCCCCCUAAUAGCCCUGCCUUGAGCCUUUAUGGGGAGAAUAUGACCUUAAUGAGGAGGGAACAUGGAACUGAACCUCUGUCCCUCACUUCUACUCAUCCACACGGCUCUCCCAGCAGCCCCUUCCAGAUGCCACUGAGCCCAGGCUCCACAGUUCUUCUGCACCAACCAUCCCCUGGGAAAAAAGACACCGUCAACCUCAUUUCGUUAUUUUUUGAAAACCUGGGAGUUGCAGGCAUGUUUGCUGAAUGGUUUGCAUGAAGGAGUUUCCUGGCUCUUAGUUUCAGCAGCCAGCAGGGCUUCCAAGAUCUUUAGGAUGCUGGAAGGGAGUGGAGAUCCCUCAGCUGGGGUUAAAAGCCAAGCACCAGCUUCCACACACCCCUACCCACUAGAUUGGAGCUCCAGAGCAUGGACUCUCUCUGACGCCUGGCACAGAGGAGUUGCCCAAUAGGUACUUGUAGUAAACUGAAUGGCAACCAAUUCAAAGGCUUUUGGCAGAGGGAGUCUCACCUUUCCCAGCCACUGGCCACCACAGGCUAGGGCAUCUGGGUGCAUGGACUGGAGCCUGGCUGGGGGAUCACAUGGUCGCUGGCCACAGUGAGCUCUGCUGGGGCCAGUGGUUAGUGCCAGGGCAAGAGAGUAGCUCCAGCCCUAAGAUGGGAGGUUAGGGACUGGAGCGAGGCACCUGGAGCCAGGAAAUAGGGGAGGGGGCAAGUCAGGCUCUGCCCUCUGCCCUCAGUCUCCUGAUUUUCCAGAAUCCCAAAUAUAUUAAAACUAAACCAGAGUCAAGACCUGGGCUGGGCUAGAGCUGCUAGUGGGCCUGAGAGGUCCAAAGAGGAAACACCACCUGAUCCAUUAAGAAAUAUACAAAUGAAAUAAACAUAAAUCAGCUGGAGGCAGUUAGCCUGGCUGAGGAAAUGCCGGAUGCCUCAGGCCUGCUCUGUGGAUGCUACCAAACUGAUCAGAAUUAAUGUUUAAAAAAAUUUGAGAUGGGGCUUCCUAGGUGGCUCAGUGGUCAAGAAUCCACCUGCAAAUGUGGGAGACAUGGGUUCAAUCCCUGGUCUGGGAAGAUUCCACAUGCCA